UUGGCUAAUAGAAGAAAUGUCUUACUCCAGAACGUUCUCAAAAGCUCUCAAGCCCUAGAUUGUUUUUCUUCGAUCUACACUUCAAUUCGAGUUUUCACAUGGUAUCAGAGUGAGGAUUUUGAGAUAUCUCACCAUCAUCUUUCGAGCGGUGGUACCCUCGACCUAUUUCGCCGAAGUUUCUGAGUUUCGUCGGUUUCUCUGCUCGUCGUUCACCGUUGGUUAUUGUGACAGUGAUUGGGCUACAUGCCCGGAUUCACGACGUUCAGUUAGUUGUUUUUGUGUCACCUUGGGUGGUAGUCUGAUUAGUUGGAAGUCCAAAUAACAACAUGUAGUUUCCUUAUCAUCCGCGGAGGCUGAAUAUCGUGCCCUGAGUAAGGUUGUUGCUGAAUUGUCUUGGUUGGUUCGUUUGCUAUCAGAUUUGGGUUUGAUAUUCUCUGCACCUAUUCCAGUUUUUUGUGACAAUCAAGCUGCAAUCAUAUAGCAAGCAAUCCAGUUUUUCAUGAAAGAACGAAGCACAUAGAGGUUGACUGCCAUUUUAUACGCACUAAGCGAGCUGAUGGAUUAAUCUCUGUCUCACAUUCCUACUGCUUUGCAAUUAGCUGACAUCUUUACCAAGUGUUUGACAGGUGUUCCUCAUCAUUCUUUAGCUGGCAAGUUGGGCAAUUGCUCACCCUCCAACUUGAGGGGGAUGUUGGAGUGACAUAGUGAACACAAUUAGUAUUAGGCUUGUGAUGAUUAUUUAUGUGUAUUUUUGUAUUUGGGCCUAAAAGUGGCUCACCCGCCAACUUGAGGAGGAUGUUGGAGUGACAUAGUGAACACAAUUAGUAUUGGGCUUGUGUAGAUUAUUUAUGUGUAUUUUGUAUUUGGGCCUAAAAGUGGUCUGUUAGUUUAGUUUUAUUUUUCACUUUGGCCCAUUGUAUAAAUAGGUGACUUGAUGCUCAUUUUACAGCUUUUGCCAUUUUGACUAAUAGAAGAAAUGUCUUACUCCA